GUGUUGGAAGUGGAGGAGAGAGACUUUUACCAGAGUGGUACAAAGAAAACGGGAUUGAAUUGAUUCUUAGCACGGAGAUAGUGAAGGCAGAUCUCGCUGAGAAGGCUCUCACUUCUGCUGGUGGUGAAACCUUCAAGUAUCAAAUUUUGAUCAUUGCAACCGGUUCCACUGUCAUAAGAUUGUCAGAUUUUGGUGUAGAAGGAGCUGAUGCCAAAAACAUUUUUUAUUUGAGAGAGAUUGAGGAUGCUGACCAGCUUGUAGAAGCAAUUAAAUCAAAGAAGAACGGGAAGGCUGUGAUUGUUGGAGGAGGUUACAUCGGUCUUGAACUUGGUGCAGCUUUAAAGAUCAACAAUCUUGAUGUUACUAUGGUCUACCCUGAACCAUGGUGCAUGCCUAGGCUUUUCACAUCUGGUAUAGCUGCCUUUUAUGAAGGUUUUUACAAAAACAAAGGAAUCAACAUAAUUAAGGGAACAGUAGCAACUGGUUUUACCUCAGAUUCAAAUGGAGAGGUGAAGCAAGUCAAACUUAAAGAUGGCAGGAUUCUUGAAGCCGACAUAGUUGUUGUGGGUGUCGGAGGCCGACCGUUGAUAUCUUUAUUUAAAGGCCAGGUUGAAGAAGAUAAGGGAGGUAUUAAGACUGAUGGAUUCUUCAAAACAAGCAUUCCUGAUGUGUAUGCUGUGGGAGACGUGGCUACUUAUCCUUUGAAGCUAUACAACGAGUUGAGAAGAGUUGAACAUGUCGAUCACGCUCGCAAAUCCGCUGAGCAGGCUGUGAAGGCCAUCAAGGCACAGGAAGAGGAGAAAUCAAUUGAGGAAUAUGACUACCUUCCA
rnacentral:misc_RNA from 1 species